AUGGCUAAAGGUGACACCAAGAAACCAAAGGGUAAGAUGUCUGCUUGUGCUCUCUUUGUGCAGAUGUGCAGAGAAGAACAUAAAAAGAAAAACCCAGAGGUCCCUGUCAAUUUAGCAGAAUUUUUCAAGAUGUGCUCCGACAGGUGAAAGACAGUGUCUAGGAAAGAUAAGUAUAAAUCUGAUAAAAUGGCAAAGGCAGAAAAAGUAGGUUCGGAUGGGGAAAUGAACGAUUAUGACCAGCUCAGGGAGGCGAGAAGAUGUCCCAAGAAGGCCACCAUCUGAAUUCUUUCCGUUCUGUUCAGAAGUCCACUUCAAGGUCAAAUCUGCAAAUCCUGGCAUCCGUGGCAAAAAGCUGGGUGAGAUGUGGAAUAACUUAAGUGACAGGACAAAGCAGACUGACAUCACUAAGGCAGAGAAGCUGAAAGAGAGGUAUGAGAAGGACGUUGCUGACAGUAAGUGUAAAGGAGAGUUUGAUGGCUCAAAGCACCCCACUAAAGUUGCCUGGAAAAAGGUGGAAGAGGAAGAUGAAGAAAACAUGGAGGACAAAGAGGAAGGGGAGGAGGAGGAUGAAAAAAAAACUGUUUUAUCUGUCUCUUUGUGAAUACUUUAGA
rnacentral:lncRNA from 1 species